AAGAGGGUCCCCUCCCACUGCCAUCCAAGCCGCGAAGCGCGCCAGCCAAUGGGGACCUGGCGAGAAGAGGGGGGAGUGGGCGGGGGUUUGGGGCGGGGGCGCCCUCAAGCCUUUCUCCUCCCGGCUCCUGGCAGCACCGGACUGGGCACGGUCCCGUUACUUGCUAAGUUUGGCUAGGACUUUGGGGGCUUUCCUCGUAAUUGCCGGAGGUCUGCUCACCCCUGGGUGCCGAAAAAGGCGGGGGUCGCGCGGUGGUUGGGGAAGGCGCCCCGGGCUGGAUAAGAAGGGUCCUGGGGACCACGCCAAAGGAACGUGGGAGGAGGCGCACUGGUGGGAGGGGUGCGCGGCGGGCGCUGGGACACAGGGCUGCGCAGACUGGGAGCCGGUGGGGGGAGAGACCCUCGGCUAAAGGAGCAGGAAGAGGGGGAGUAAAGGAUCGAGCAUAUCCAGAGGCGGCGAGAAAGAAACAAAGAGCGCCUGAAAUUGGAGCGUGGGGUGGGGUCGCGCGCAGCGGAGAACGCAGGACUUGGACCUGUGGAGCCUCGCGCGCUGCCCGCUUCGAAAGGGGGGACAAUUAGGACCCUCGUCUUUUUUCUUCGUCUUGUCUUGAGGGUACUGUGCAGGGACUUAACGGACUCCGUCCGGCUUCGGACGGCCGGGGCUGAGGCGGUGGCCGAGAGAAGCCCAGGGAAGAGGGGCGGGGUCUGUGAGUCACUGAGGGUGACUCACUGCGCCCUGCUGGCCGGUAGAGGUUUAGGGGGCCUAGCAGUUCGAGGGAAACCGUUAGACGAGGUUGACUUAAGUCUCCGCGGGCCCCACGCUCAGUGUUUUGUUCUAAAUCUUACCCCACUUAGAGCUCGGCGGUCGCUUUGAUGUGUACGGUCCAGCCGUGGGGGAGCCAAGAGCACCCUUUAUUUUUAAGAAGUCGCCAAAUCGUGAUUUUGUUCCAAUGUGCGCACUUUUUAGAAGGAACUUUCCGCAGACCUUGGAGAGUCGCCAACUGCGGGUCUCCGGGCAGUUGGUGAUAGCUUUACUUAAAAAGUUCCCUCCCACCCUUCACUCCAGCCUCCUCUCGCUCUUCCCCCUCCCCCUAUGAAACCACACCCGACUUUUAAAAUGAUCUGCAGGUUCUGGGUAAAAGAGGAAAUUCGGCGUACAUAGUUUCAGAAUCAAAUUGAGAGAUCACUGCUUUUUUCUGCUGUAGUAGAAGUCAUUAACGGUAUAAUCUGAGCCAAUUACAGAAGUAAUUAGGUGUUGCUUUAAACCCCCAAUUUGAUUAAUGAGAUCAAAUGAAAGGCAGUCAUGUAACUCAAAUGACAGAAUGUUUGAGGAAAAUAGAUUUAUGUGUUAAUUUUAGGACAGAGCUGCGCAGUGCAGAAUUCUGAGGACUUGUCCGAGAAAUGUCACCAAUUCUUGUGGUCUGUUGUCAAGAAGAGGAUUUGUGCCUUUGGUCUUGGAGUGAGAGAGAUAAAGCUGUGGUCCAUGACAUGGAGAGAUUCCAUCACCUUAAGCUUUCUAGGAGAAAGACAUGCUUGUAGCCAUGUUUUAGGAAGAUCGUUCUGGCAUGUUGUGGAAGAUGAAUCAGGGAUACUGAAUUGAGGGCUGUUUGCAGCAGAUCAGG